UAUCACGAAGAACUCCGAUUGCGAAGGCAGCCUGCUAAGCUGCAACUGACAUUGAGGCUCGAAAGUGUGGGUAUCAAACAGGAUUAGAUACCCUGGUAGUCCACACGGUAAACGAUGAAUACUCGCUGUUUGCGAUAUACUGCAAGCGGCCAAGCGAAAGCGUUAAGUAUUCCACCUGGGGAGUACGCCGGCAACGGUGAAACUCAAAGGAAUUGACGGGGGCCCGCACAAGCGGAGGAACAUGUGGUUUAAUUCGAUGAUACGCGAGGAACCUUACCCGGGCUUAAAUUGCAGAUGAAUUACGGUGAAAGCCGUAAGCCGCAAGGCAUCUGUGAAGGUGCUGCAUGGUUGUCGUCAGCUCGUGCCGUGAGGUGUCGGCUUAAGUGCCAUAACGAGCGCAACCCUUGUUGUCAGUUACUAACAGGUUUCGCUGAGGACUCUGACAAGACUGCCAUCGUAAGAUGUGAGGAAGGUGGGGAUGACGUCAAAUCAGCACGGCUCUUACGUCCGGGGCUACACACGUGUUACAAUGGGGGGUGCAGAGGGCCGCUACCACGCGAGUGGAUGCCAAUCCCAAAAACCUCUCUCAGUUCGGACUGGAGUCUGCAACCCGACUCCACGAAGCUGGAUUCGCUAGUAAUCGCGCAUCAGCCACGGCGCGGUGAAUACGUUCCCGGGCCUUGUACACACCGCCCGUCAAGCCAUGGGAGCCGGGGGUACAUGAAGUGCGUAACCGCGAGGAGCGCCCUAGGG
rnacentral:rRNA from 1 species